CAAAUGAAUUGACGGGACCCGCACAAGCAGCGGAGCGUGUGGUUUAAUUCGAUGCUACACGAAGAACCUUACCAGGGUUUGACAUGCAAGUGGUAGGAAUCUGAAAAGGGACCGACCCUUCGGGGAGCUUGCACAGGUGCUGCAUGGCUGUCGUCAGCUCGUGUCGUGAGAUGUUCGGUUAAGUCCGCUAACGAGCGCAACCCUCACUGUGUGUUAUAUGUGUCACACGGGACUGCCGGUUUUAAGCCGGAGGAAGGUGGGGAUGACGUCAAGUCAGCAUGGCCUUUAUAUCCUGGGCUACACACACGCUACAAUGGUCGGUACAAUAGGUUGCCAAGCCGCGAGGCGGAGCCAAUCCACAAAGCCGGCCUCAGUUCAGAUUGUAGGCUGCAACUCGCCUGCAUGAAGAUGGAGUUGCUAGUAACCGCAGGUCAGCAAUACUGCGGUGAAUACGUUCCCGGGUCUU
rnacentral:rRNA from 1 species